rnacentral:lncRNA from 1 species
GGAUCACAAAAGCUCAUAUAUUAACUAUACAAAUUCCUUUACAUUUACAGAUAGCCAAAAUAAAUGAUAUUCUCAAGUCGUUUCCCACCCAUUGGUCCAACCUAUUCUUCGACGACAUCUUCUCGGCAUGCUUAAGUUACAUUGUCUGCAUCUAGAAAACAACAGAGAAAGUAAGGGUGAGUACGACAAGUCAUACUCAGCAAGUAGGUACUUCACUAUUCAACAAGAGUAGAAUUUAAGGAUAUUGAUACAGUAACAAUGGGUUGACUGUAUCUAAAGGAGCAUAAAUAACGUGACAAAUUGCUGGGGCCAAUUUCAUUGGAAAUAGGUAAAAGAACAUCAUAACCGGAUAUAAUGAAAAUGGACCAAGAAAUUAUUGGCAUUAUACAUGACCGCAAGCUUCCCAACCCGGGAGUCACAGGGGUGAAAUUUCACACUUUUACGCUCUUAAGAGGGGUACUUCGACGUCGACAGCCUCGACUAGAACCACACAGGUUCUAGAAAAGCAGAGCUCUUGUAUCCACUAAGACCCGGACGCCUGGACCUACUGAUGUCGGUCGCUCCUACGGAUCCAUCACCGACACGUUCCUGAACAAGGUCCGUCCUUAGCGGAGAACUCAGACAGUCCCAUACCUGAACUGUGACCGGUACAAUAUGUUUGCCGUCGCGACACCAAUAUAGAUGGAUGUAUGUUUGAAUCAAUGAUAGGAUCAUUGAAAUAUUAGUCAAAGACAAUACACUCAUGACUUUUCAUAAGUUCCUCCAAAAUACUCCGAUUCCGUCAACAAAUGGAUUAUGAGGAAAACACAUCCCUCUCUCAAGGAUCAACACAGGAUCAACAAGGAUCAACAAGGAUCAACAAGGAUCAAGGUGCGAUAAUAUUACUAGAUAAUCAAGGAAGACAACAAUAAGGCGAGAUCAGGGAGUUUAGCAAAGCAGCUACUUGCCUAGAUAUUAGAAAUUAUUCUUCAUGGCAUCAGAUAAAUAUUUCCUCCGAUCGACCGCCGGUAUAUAACGCCGCAUCAGUUAUCAUAGUAUAUGUAUGUUCUACACAUAGCAUAUACAGCGUGAUUAUCCCUUCUAUGCAGUGGAUGCAACAUCUCCUCCUCGCUCUGCCCUCUCAUCUGAACUCAGGUUCUAUGCGUCUCUCUCCUUCUCCCAAUAGUGUGUGAGGUGC